rnacentral:snRNA from 1 species
CGCGACCUCGGAAGUGCCG